rnacentral:rRNA from 1 species
GGGCCCGCACAAGUGGUGGAGCAUGUGGUUUAAUUCGAUGCAACGCGAAGAACCUUACCAACCCUUGAAAUCUAGCGAAGUUCACAGAGAUGAGAAUGUGCCUUCGGGAACGCUAUGACAGGUGUUGCAUGGCUGUCGUCAGCUCGUGUCGUGAGAUGUAUGGUUAAGUCCAGUAACGAGCGCAACCCCUAUCCUUAUUUGCCAGCGCGUUAAGGCGGGAACUAUAGGGAGACUGCCGGGUGAAACCCGGAGGAAGGCGGGGACGAGGUCAAGUCAUCAUGGCCCUUAUGGGUUGGGCUACACACGUGCUACAAUGGGAAGUACAGAGGGAUGCGAAAGCGCGAGCUGGAGCCAAACCCUUAAAACUUUUCUUAGUCCGGAUUGGAGUCUGCAACUCGACUCCAUGAAGUCGGAAUCACUAG